rnacentral:lncRNA from 1 species
AGGACACAUUCACUGCUGCCCUCUCUGCGGCCAGCUCUGUGCUAGGGCUCAGGCUGUGUGCUGGGAGGGGCACACAUCGUGCCUUCUAGGGACUGAUGGAAGAUCUAGGAUUUGCUUGUCUGUGUCCUCAGCCUCUUGUCCCCUUGCUUCACCUGAAAUGCACCUGGGUGUUCCCAUCCACUCACAAGGCUUCAUCUCCCACAACUCUUACAUUGAGAACAUCCAAGGCUGCAUUGUGGACCCAGCCCUCUUCUAAACUCUACCUACCUGCUCUCUGGACCCUGCACCCCGGAUGUCCCACAGCACCUCACGUUGGGGUAUGUAGUUUUGGACUUCCUGUGAGUCUGAACAUUCACUCUAUACAUUCUGUCUCUGUGAGUGACAUCACUCAGCCCCUUGAGGCACCAUCGUAGCUUUCUGCUUUUCCCUGUCCACCUUCCUCCACCAACCCAGACAAUCAUCAAGCACUGCUCAUGCCAUCUACUGAGCAUCUCUCAAUUCUAUGCACCUCACCUUCCCUAGAGCCACUUCUGAGCUAGGGCCUUCCUGUCUGUUGCCCAGAUCUUGGCAUCAUCAUGGGCAUCUACACCUAACUUGCUCCUCUCAAAUCCAUCCUGCAACUGACACCAGAGUGAGCUUCCUAAGAUCAUGUCCUCCCAGCCUACUUAAACCCUUCAGAAGACCCCCACUUCCUCUGGACAGAAUCUAAGCUACUUUAGUCCGCCCGAUGAUCCUGCCAACUGUCCAGCCUUAUCUACUACCAGGCCCUGGCUUUAACUCCUAAUGACAACAUCACCUUCUGUCUGUCCCUUCCCUCCCUCCAGCCCCACUACUUCCCCUCCAUGUCCAUCCUCAGCCAUGCUCUUGUAAAAAUUACACCCAGAUUUUCAAUGAGAACUUGGAACAAUAAUUAGGAAUCUUCAGAAUCCAAUUUCAAGUAUCAGAAGGAAAAGUGAUACCCAGAUGCAAAGCUGGACAUUGCUGACCCCACCCCAAAUGGACGCUGGAGACCCAGACCCCUCAUCUGCUAAGCAGACAGACUGUAAGUGGUCAUGGAAGAAGGGUGCAAAAGUGAACACAUUCUGUUAACACUCAUGGCCUCCAGAAAACAGAAGAAUCACGGACAUCAGCUGAGAAGCGCAUCUCAUCCUUCCCCUCCCAUAACACUGUUGGGAAAAUCAGGCUCAGAGAAAGGAAAGGUCAAAGCCAAGGCUCCCAAUAUGGAGUCUUCCAUUCUCUCUGCUUGGACACAUGCCCCAAAGCUGCACAGCCAGCCUCAAGGGAGUCAGUGCAAGGGGCACACGCACAGACAUCCUGCAUGCCGGCACCUGCCAGGUGGGGAAGUGGACGUGUGCAUGCACCUGCAACUGGAGACCUCAUCCUCCAUCUCCCAGAAACUCUCUUUCAGGUGUCUUUAGUCUUGCUACAGGUGGAAUGAGACCCUCCAGUCAGAGUAAAAGGACAUCUCAAAGCCAAUGCUCAGGCCAGCACUUUCUCAAGCACAACAUCCUCCCUGGUUUCCUUCCUGCCAAAGCUCUCAGGUUUGGUCACAGGGUUAAACCAAGGAAAGUGGACCAGGAAAAAAGGUGAACUUAUCAACUGUAGAUGAAGCCAGCUUCCUCCAGGGAGGUCCAUUCUUACCUUAAGGCUGGACCAUGGGGCCCGUGCUACUGAGACUUGUGCCAUGACCCCCUGGAGGACAACCGGGGAAAGAUGGUCAAACAGAACCUCAGGGCUGGAUAAACUGCAUCUCUCAAGGGUCAUAGCUCCCUGGGGCAGGCAGCCCUUUUGAGGCUAAGCUGCUGGAUGGUGAUUAUGAAACCUCCUCAUGCACACUCUGAGCAUCAGGGUGUUUGCUCUUCCCAGAGCGGUCCCUCCAUCUUUGUAGUUGGCCAUUGCUGCUUCACCUAAAGCUCAAACACACCUCCCUUCAGUCCUAGUUCUGUCCUCCAUGGCCCCACAGAACAUGACUCUUCAGUCGGUCACAGUGCUUUGCAUUAGUGCACUGAAUGGCUAGUGGAGCACAGCCAGGGGAGGACAGGAGGAGGGUAUUCUCUGGAGACAGGUGUGCCCCCCUACUGACAGACCCUGCUCAGCAGAACAGAAGCCCUUCAGCGAAUGAGACCUACCCUCUGCGGAAGGCUGGUUAGGAAGCAUCCAUGUCUACUUCAGCGUCUCACCUCCCUGUCACAAACAGAUCACCACAGUUUUCCUCCAGCCUCAUGCUGUCCUCCCCCUAGAGGAAUGUGGGUACAUGGAAUGUUCUCCACCUCCAUGCAUGUCCAGUGACGUUUUGGAUCAGCGUGUCAGGGACGCUGUCAGGCGUGCCUGCUUGCACUCAUCCAGCCCUGGCUGGAUGUGAUUCUACGAGCAGAGCAAGACCAGCAUGUUCUGUCCUCCAGUUAUCACAGCAGUUACUCUGGCAACCUGCAGGCCCUCCCUGAGGUGUCUGACGGCUGAAGCAGGGUCCAGUGGGAUGGAAUGAAGGAUGGGCACCCUGGAAGACAGCCCAUGGAGGGGCCCUUUGGGUCCCCUGCUGCCCUGGGCACCUGCGAAGAGAGAAGCUGAGCCACCCUGCCUGAGGCAGUAGGCAGUAAGAGCUGAAGGGAGCAGGAGGUUAGGGCCCAGCGGGAAGUGAGAGCAGUGGGGCCAGCACCAGGGUAAGCUGAAUAAAGCUCUCGCCUGAGGCGCAGAAUUUAAAGAUUUGCCAAAAAACUCAGCAGCCAAGAAAUUUAAUACUUCCAGCAAAUCAAAGCAAAACUGUCCAUGAUAAACAAGACUGGAGUUAGGGUAAGGCAAGUGAGGCCAAUACAAGGCCCGCAAAUCCAGUGUUGUAUCUUGUCUUUAUUAAAGGUUUGAUUUUGUUGUAUGUGCUUUGCAUUCAUUUUGAUUUAAAAAAAUACUAUAUUGAAAUAUCAUUUAUCUUAAUUACUGAGCUUGUUCGAGGUCCUUUGAAUGUUGCACUUGAGGUCAAUGUCUUUCUAGCCUCACCCUAGUCUCAGCCCUGGAGGGGAGGGACAGACUGAGUCAGGAGCAGGAAGGAGCACAGUGCCAUUGAAAACGCAUCAUGCGACAAGGAGCCGGGAGACAUGGGUUCCCAUCUGUCCCCUUCACAGAUUCUCCUCAGUUCUGAUAGAAUCAGAUUCAGAUUUCACAAGACUGCAACAUGAAUAUUGCUGCUGGGGAGCACAGGUGCCUAGCAUGCACAUGGACCCCCUCCAUACAGGGUGAUAGUGAGUCAUAAGGUGGCACCCACCUCCUGCCCUCCGUCAGGUUGUCUGCUAAGGGGAGGAGAUGGGAGAAGAAGGGGAGAGGGGAAUGGAGGGGGUGGGCAGGGAAGAAGCUGGCAAGUUUGCAUGACUGGGAGCAGGAAUGGCAGAUGAGCUGUAAUUGCCUGAAGCUGAGAGAGGCUGUUGAUAAAUGUUACUAAUAAUCAACCUUCAGAUCUGACACCCAGCUCAGGCUGGGAUUACUGUUUUGAAUGGAAAUUGAACCCAAACCAAUAAUUACCCUGGUGAGCGAUGCCAGUCUUACUCUGGAGCCUGUUUUAGGCAGGGAAAUCGCACCUGCAUGUCAGUACCAGCCCAUGAGGUAGAUGAUCCAGCAAAGGACUCCCUCCUGGGGUCACACCAAGAGCACAAACUGGCCUGGACUCUGCCAACACAAUGGGCCACAGUAUCAACAGGAAUGCUCACCCUCUUCCUAGAGCUUACAGUGGGUGAGGGACUCCCACCCAUCAUUGUCAAUCUUCAAGCAGAGUCCAGACCUCAGACCCCACUCCCACUGUCCUUCCCCCUUGGGCUUCAUGGAAGUCCCUUGUUGACAUCAUCC